GUCGACGAUGAAUCUUCUAGCUUGCUAGAAGUGGAUUAGUGGCGCACGGGUGAGUAAUGCAUAGGUUAUGUGCCCUUUAGUCUGGGAUAGCCACUGGAAACGGUGAUUAAUACUGGAUACUCCCUACGGGGGAAAGUUUUUCGCUAAAGGAUCAGCCUAUGUCCUAUCAGCUUGUUGGUGAGGUAAUGGCUCACCAAGGCUAUGACGGGUAUCCGGCCUGAGAGGGUGAUCGGACACACUGGAACUGAGACACGGUCCAGACUCCUACGGGAGGCAGCAGUAGGGAAUAUUGCUCAAUGGGGGAAACCCUGAAGCAGCAACGCCGCGUGGAGGAUGAAGGUUUUAGGAUUGUAAACUCCUUUUGUUAGAGAAGAUUAUGACGGUAUCUAACGAAUAAGCACCGGCUAACUCCGUGCCAGCAGCCGCGGUAAUACGGAGGGUGCAAGCGUUACUCGGAAUCACUGGGCGUAAAGAGUGCGUAGGCGGGGUAAUAAGUCAGAUGUGAAAUCCUGUAGCUUAACUACAGAACUGCAUUUGAAACUGUUACUCUGGAGUGUGGGAGAGGUAGGUGGAAUUCUUGGUGUAGGGGUAAAAUCCGUAGAGAUCAAGAGGAAUACUCAUUGCGAAGGCGACCUGCUGGAACAUUACUGACGCUGAUGCACGAAAGCGUGGGGAGCAAACAGGAUUAGAUACCCUGGUAGUCCACGCCCUAAACGAUGGAUGCUAGUUGUUGCCUUGCUUGUCAGGGCAGUAAUGCAGCUAACGCAUUAAGCAUCCCGCCUGGGGAGUACGGUCGCAAGAUUAAAACUCAAAGGAAUAGACGGGGACCCGCACAAGCGGUGGAGCAUGUGGUUUAAUUCGAAGAUACGCGAAGAACCUUACCUAGGCUUGACAUUGAUA
rnacentral:rRNA from 1 species